CUGACCGUAAACGAUGCCAACUAGCGAUCCGUCGGCGGCUCUACGGCCCUGAUGGGGAGCUUCCCGGAAACGAAAGUCUUCCGGUUCCGGGGGAAGUAUGGUUGCAAAGCUGAAACUUAAAGGAAUUGACGGAAGGGCACCACCAGGAGUGGAGCCUGCGGCUUAAUUUGACUCAACACGGGAAAACUCACCCGGCCCGGACACCGUGAGGAUUGACAGAUUGAUAGCUUUUUCAUGAUUCGGUGGUUGGUGGUGCAUGGCCGUUCUUAGUUCGUGGAUCGAUUUGUCUGGUUUAUUCCGAUAACGAGCGAGACUCCAGCCUACUAACUAGUACGGGCAUUGCCUCUGUGCCCGGCACUUCUUAGAGGGAUUGGCUGCGUCUAGCGGCACGAAACGGAGCAAUAACAGGUCUGUGAUGCCCUUAGAUGUCCGGGGCUGCACGCGCGCUACACUGGCAAAGGCAGCGUGCUUGUCCGUCUCCGAAAGGAGCCGGUAAACCCUUGAAAAUUUGCCGUGAUUGGGAUCGGAAAUUGCA
rnacentral:rRNA from 1 species